rnacentral:rRNA from 1 species
GACGAACGCUGGCGGCGUGCUUAACACAUGCAAGUCGAACGAUGAACCCGGAGCUUGCUCCGGUGGAUUAGUGGCGAACGGGUGAGUAACACGUGAGUAACCUGCCCUUGACUCUGGGAUAACUGCGGGAAACUGUAGCUAAUACCGGAUACGACCCUCGGCGGCAUCGCCAGGGGGUGGAAAGAAUUUCGGUCAAGGAUGGACUCGCGGCCUAUCAGCUAGUUGGUGAGGUAACGGCUCACCAAGGCGACGACGGGUAGCCGGCCUGAGAGGGUGACCGGCCACACUGGGACUGAGACACGGCCCAGACUCCUACGGGAGGCAGCAGUGGGGAAUAUUGCACAAUGGGCGCAAGCCUGAUGCAGCGACGCCGCGUGAGGGAUGAAGGUCUUCGGAUUGUAAACCUCUUUCAGUAGGGACGAAGCGAAAGUGACGGUACCUAAAGAAGAAGCACCGGCUAACUACGUGCCAGCCGCCGCAGUAA